CCCCUUUUCUUCCUAACUUCCUACGGCAAUUGAUAGAACCCCAAUUUCUUCCCAAAAGUCUUCUCCUUCGGGAAGAAGAAAUCAGCAGCUGUCCCCCUCUAUCCCCCAUCUAUUUAUAUCUUCAAACACCGCUCAAAACGGGGGAUCGAUUCUCUUCUCUAGUACAAGUACACAACUACAAAUAAAUCAAUGAUUUCUCAACUAAGAACUUCAGAGAAACAGCCAUGGGAUAGCUCCAAGUUCAGCUCCAACAGCCUUCAGCCAAAGCUCCGAGAAUCCUUCGGUUUCCUCUUCCUUGUAUUCGAUUUUCUUCAAAGAGGGGAAACUCGUCGCCCAUGUCAAGGUUGAGGUUCUCGAAGCGGUUAUGGAAACUGGUGGAGCGGAGUUCGAGGAAUCACGAGCUUUUAUAUCAACCGACUAUUUUCAAAGAUUUUAUUAGUCACUUUCUUUUUAAGUGUUUUAACUUGAGAAGUUUAUAGUUGUAAUUAUGAUGUACUCUAUUUAGGAAUCUAGUCUAUUAAACCGGGGUGUAUGUAAAAUAAAGUUGUUUUGUGUUCCGCUGUAUUACAAGUAUUGCUUUGAAACCCCGUCUAUGUUGAAGUAGCACUCUUUAUGAAAAUUAUAUCUUUCAAA